CGGAGGAUCCGAGCGUUAUCCGGAUUUAUUGGGUUUAAAGGGUGCGUAGGCGGCCUAUUAAGUCAGGGGUGAAAGACGGUAGCUUAACUAUCGCAGUGCCUUUGAUACUGAUGGGCUUGAAUGUACUUGAGGUAGGCGGAAUGUGACAAGUAGCGGUGAAAUGCAUAGAUAUGUCACAGAACACCAAUUGCGAAGGCAGCUUACUAAAGUAUGAUUGACGCUGAGGCACGAAAGCGUGGGGAUCAAACAGGAUUAGAUACCCUGGUAGUCCACGCCCUAAACGAUGAACACUCGAUGUUGGCGAUAUACGGUCAGCGUCUAAGCGAAAGCGUUAAGUGUUCCACCUGGGGAGUACGCCCGCAAGGGUG
rnacentral:rRNA from 1 species